rnacentral:lncRNA from 1 species
UUCUAUGCACGUGCACGUUUUGUCAUAUGCUCUGCAGUUAAAAACUUUCUUUCUGUGCCUUCGAAUGUUCCGGCCAUGUCGGAAAAACUGAGGACAGGAUAGAAAGCUUGCUGCGCGACUGUGUGAUGUGGUAACUCGGGGAGCAACACAAGGGCGAAAUUUUCCCCGUUUCCCAGCGGACCACGGGUGUGACAUAUGGCGAAAUUACGCUAAAUGGGGAGUCCUGGCGGGGCUGACACGGGAGCAGAUGUAUAACGGCUACGGCCUCUGCUCGAACCACUUCAUACGAAUUAAGGGACUACGCCGACCCUGUCGUGGCCGGCUGUGCCGACUGUUGAAGUGGAAGAGCGGACCCUGAUCGAUGAAGGCUCUACACCAUCGCAGCGAGGCCAAAAGCGGAAAAUAUACUCACCAGAGACCGUAGGCGUCAUCAACCGACUGAGAGAUGAUACACAAAGGUAUCGCAAGUCAGCGAAGUUAAAGAGCUGCCGAAAUAUUACCAC